CAGGGUAUCAAAUCGCAGGGAUGAGAACCGUAAAGGUUUGAGCCGAGCGAAGCGAGACAGCAACGCGCAGCGUUGACCCAAAGGGCGAGUCCGCAGGAUGAGUCAUCCCGCACGACCCACCA
rnacentral:sRNA from 2 species